rnacentral:rRNA from 1 species
UGCGUAGGUGGCAGUGCAAGUCAGAUGUGAAAGGCCGGGGCUCAACCCCGGAGCUGCAUUUGAAACUGCAUAGCUGGAGUACAGGAGAGGCAGGCGGAAUUCCUAGUGUAGCGGUGAAAUGCGUAGAUAUUAGGAGGAACACCAGUGGCGAAGGCGGCCUGCUGGACUGUUACUGACACUGAGGCACGAAAGCGUGGGGAGCAAACA